AACGCUAGCUACAGGCUUAACACAUGCAAGUCGAGGGGCAGCAUAAAAGUAGCAAUACUUUGGUGGCGACCGGCGCACGGGUGAGUAACGCGUAUGCAACCUACCUAUCAGAGGGGGAUAACCCGGCGAAAGUCGGACUAAUACCGCAUAAAACAGGGGCACCGCAUGGUGAUAUUUGUUAAAGAUUAAUUGCUGAUAGAUGGGCAUGCGUUCCAUUAGGUAGUUGGUGAGGUAACGGCUCACCAAGCCGACGAUGGAUAGGGGAACUGAGAGGUUGGUCCCCCACACUGGUACUGAGACACGGACCAGACUCCUACGGGAGGCAGCAGUGAGGAAUAUUGGUCAAUGGGCGAGAGCCUGAACCAGCCAAGUCGCGUGAAGGAAGAAGGAUCUAUGGUUCGUAAACUUCUUUUGCAGGGGAAUAAAGUGGGGGACGUGUCCUCUUUUGUAUGUACCCUGAGAAUAAGAAUCGGCUAACUCCGUGCCAGCAGCCGCGGUAAUACGGAGGAUCCGAGCGUUAUCCGGAUUUAUUGGGUUUAAAGGGUGCGUAGGUGGUUUAAUAAGUCAGCGGUGAAAGUUUGCAGCUUAACUGUAAAAAUGCCGUUGAAACUGUUAGACUUGAGUGUAAAUGAGGUAGGCGGAAUGCGUGGUGUAGCGGUGAAAUGCUUAGAUAUCACGAAGAACUCCGAUUG
rnacentral:rRNA from 1 species